GCAGAAAUGUGGUCUGUCGCUUCAAGACAGGAUUUUGAAGAGGAAAGUCCGGGCAACAAAGAGCGCCGCAUUUUCUAACGGAAAGCCGGUGGUGACACCGGGUGCCAGUGACAGAAAAUAACCGCCGCUGCCGACACAUCGCAGCGGUAAGGGUGAAAAGGUGAGGUAAGAGCUCACCGGCCGGCAUGGCGACAUGUCGGGCCGCACACACUGCGGGUUGCAAGGUCAAAUAUACCGGCAGCUAAGGAUUGCUCGUCCAUUGCCGGGGGGUAGACUGCUAAAGCGCGCCGGGCAACCGGCCGCUCAGAUAAAUGACAGACACCCGCUAUGCGGGCACAUAACCCGGCUUAUAACAUCUCUGCCACC
rnacentral:RNase_P_RNA from 1 species